AGUCAUAUGCUUGUCUCAAAGAUUAAGCCAUGCAUGUCUCAGUACAAGCCAAAUUAAGGUGAAACCGCGAAAGGCUCAUUAAAUCAGUUAUGGUUCCUUAGAUCGUACACACACUUACUUGGAUAACUGUGGUAAUUCUAGAGCUAAUACAUGCAAAUAGAACUCCAACCGGAGACGGAAGGAGCGCUUUUAUUAGAUCAAAACCUAUCGGCAACGGUUCGCCGUUGUCGUAUUAUUUGGUGAUUCUGAAUAACUUUUUGCUGAUCGCACGGUCUAGCACCGGCGACGCAUCUUUCAAAUGUCUGCCUUAUCAACUGUCGAUGGUAGGUUCUGCGCCUACCAUGGUUGUAACGGGUAACGGGGAAUCAGGGUUCGAUUCCGGAGAGGGAGCCUGAGAAACGGCUACCACAUCCAAGGAAGGCAGCAGGCGCGCAAA
rnacentral:rRNA from 1 species